AAAUGACUUCCGUAACCUGAGAGAGAAAGAGAGAGAGAGAGAGAGAGAGAGACUGGACUCCUCAGGCUUUUAACUCACCAAGGCGGAUUUUGACUUUCACCUCAAAAAGGUUUUCGAUUAACAGCGCCAAAUGACCGGGUAUUCCUGAAAAGAGGGUAGAACUAUCAUUAAAAGCAAACGAGGAGAGAGCGGGGGAAACGCGGUCAGUCCGGAAUUGCCACCUCCUCCUUCUCGCACUCCCUCUCCUCCUCACCCUUUUUACCCCGCAGCCUCUAAUGCCAUCUGUACUGCCAACGGGGGGACACUUUGCCUGUGCCAGGAGGUGGACAAAGACCCUGCCAGAUCCCUGGAGUAUGGGCGCGCUCAGAGAAGCCAUCUUGGGAGAUGUUGCUGCGACACCUAAAAUGGCAGGGCUGGCAUACGAGGAUGGGACAGGAUCUGUGAGACUCUCUGCACUCUGCAGGAAACUGCUUUGGCACGAGGAGACUGUGGACCAAACCCAACAAAAUAAGACUCUCCAGAAUUUAUGCAUGAACUCAAGAGGUUAUCAUUCAAUCGAACACUGCAGGAAGAAUUCUGUGUAGAAACAAAAGAUAUGAGGUGCAAAUAUGAAAUGUAAAGCUCAUGAUGCCUGCUAU